rnacentral:rRNA from 1 species
GACAGAGGGUGCAAACGUUGUUCGGAAUUACUGGGCGUAAAGCGUGUGUAGGCGGCUAUGUAAGUCGGAUGUGAAAGCCCUGGGCUCAACCCAGGAAGUGCACUCGAUACUGCGUAGCUUGAGUACCGGAGAGGUUGGUGGAAUUCUCGGUGUAGAGGUGAAAUUCGUAGAUAUCGAGAGGAACACCGGUGGCGAAGGCGGCCAACUGGACGGGUACUGACGCUGAGACACGAAAGCGUGGGGAGCAAACAGG